rnacentral:rRNA from 1 species
GAUGAACGCUAGCGGGAGGCCUAACACAUGCAUGCCGAGCGGUAUUUCUUCUUCGGGAGAGAGAGAGCGGCGUACGGGUGCGGAACACGUGUGCAACCUGCCUUUAUCUAGAGGAUAGCCUUUCGAAAGGAAGAUUAAUACUCUAUAAUAUAUUAAUUGGCAUCAAUUGAUAUUGAAAACUCCGGUGGAUAGAGAUGGGCACGCGCAAGAUUAGCUAGUUGGUGAGGUAACGGCUCACCAAGGCAAUGAUCUUUAGGGGGCCUGAGAGGGUGAUCCCCCACACUGGUACUGAGACACGGACCAGACUCCUACGGGAGGCAGCAGUGAGGAGUAUUGGUCAAUGGGUGCAAGCCUGAACCAGCCAUCCCGCGUGAAGGAUUAAGGUCCUAUGGAUUGUAAACUUCUUUUGUAUAGGGAUAAACCUACCCUCGUGAGGGUAGCUGAAGGUACUAUACGAAUAAGCACCGGCUAACUCCGUGCCAGCAGCCGCGGUAAAAC